AACGAACGCUGGCGGCAGGCCUAACACAUGCAAGUCGAACGGGUGUAGCAAUACAUCAGUGGCAGACGGGUGAGUAACGCGUGGGAAUCUCCCCAGAGGUACGGAACAACUCAGGGAAACUUGAGCUAAUACCGUAUGUGCCCGAGAGGGCAAAGAUUUAUCGCCUUUGGAUGAGCCCGCGUUGGAUUAGCUUGUUGGUGGGGUAAUGGCCUACCAAGGCUACGAUCCAUAGCGGAUCUGAGAGGAUGAUCAGCCACACUGGGACUGAGACACGGCCCAGACUCCAAGGGGAGGCGGCAGUGAGGAAGCUUGGACAAUGGGCGCAAGCCUGAUCCAGCCAUGCCGCGUGAGUGAAGAAGGCCCUAGGGUUGUAAAGCUCUUUUACCCGGGAAGAUAAUGACGGUACCGGGAGAAUAAGCCGCGGCAAACUUCGUGCCAGCCGCCGCAGUAAGAC
rnacentral:rRNA from 1 species